rnacentral:rRNA from 1 species
UAGCCGUAAACGAUACUCGCUAGGUGUCGGCCACGGUGCGACCGUUGUCGGUGCCGUAGGGAAGCCGUGGAGCGAGCCACCUGGGAAGUACGGCCGCAAGGCUGAAACUUAAAGGAAUUGGCGGGGGAGCACCACAACGGGUGGAGCUUGCGGUUUAAUUGGAUUCAACGCCGGAAAUCUUACCGGGACCGACAGCAACAUGAAGGCCAGGCUGAAGACUUUGCCGGAUUAGCUGAGAGGUGGUGCAUGGCGUAGUCGUGU